GGCUGAAUUUAGGCGAUAAAUUGUAAAUUUAUUUAUGGAAGGUUCCUUUUAC
rnacentral:tRNA from 1 species